AUAAUGGGUCAGCGACUUAUAUUCUGUAGCAAGGUUAACCGAAUAGGGGAGCCGAAGGGAAACCGAGUCUUAACUGGGCGUUAAGUUGCAGGGUAUAGACCCGAAACCCGGUGAUCUAGCCAUGGGCAGGUUGAAGGUUGGGUAACACUAACUGGAGGACCGAACCGACUAAUGUUGAAAAAUUAGCGGAUGACUUGUGGCUGGGGGUGAAAGGCCAAUCAAACCGGGAGAUAGCUGGUUCUCCCCGAAAGCUAUUUAGGUAGCGCCUCGUGAAUUCAUCUCCGGGGGUAGAGCACUGUUUCGGCAAGGGGGUCAUCCCGACUUACCAACCCGAUGCAAACUGCGAAUACCGGAGAAUGUUAUCACGGGAGACACACGGCGGGUGCUAACGUCCGUCGUGAAGAGGGAAACAACCCAGACCGCCAGCUAAGGUCCCAAAGUCAUGGUUAAGUGGGAAACGAUGUGGGAAGGCCCAGACAGCCAGGAUGUUGGCUUAGAAGCAGCCAUCAUUUAAAGAAAGCGUAAUAGCUCACUGGUCGAGUCGGCCUGCGCGGAAGAUGUAACGGGGCUAAACCAUGCACCGAAGCUGCGGCAGCGACGCUGAUGCGUUGUUGGGUAGGGGAGCGUUCUGUAAGCCUGUGAAGGUGUGCUGUGAGGCAUGCUGGAGGUAUCAGAAGUGCGAAUGCUGACAUAAGUAACGAUAAAGCGGGUGAAAAGCCCGCUCGCCGGAAGACCAAGGGUUCCUGUCCAACGUUAAUCGGGGCAGGGUGAGUCGACCCCUAAGGCGAGGCCGAAAGGCGUAGUCGAUGGGAAACAGGUUAAUAUUCCUGUACUUGGUGUUACUGCGAAGGGGGGACGGAGAAGGCUAUGUUGGCCGGGCGACGGUUGUCCCGGUUUAAGCGUGUAGGCUGGUUUUCCAGGCAAAUCCGGAAAAUCAAGGCUGAGGCGUGAUGACGAGGCACUACGGUGCUGAAGCAACAAAUGCCCUGCUUCCAGGAAAAGCCUCUAAGCAUCAGGUAACAUCAAAUCGUACCCCAAACCGACACAGGUGGUCAGGUAGAGAAUACCAAGGCGCUUGAGAGAACUCGGGUGAAGGAACUAGGCAAAAUGGUGCCGUAACUUCGGGAGAAGGCACGCUGAUAUGUAGGUGAAGUCCCUCGCGGAUGGAGCUG
rnacentral:rRNA from 1 species